GCCGCAUUAGCUCAGUCGGUAGAGCAUCUCAUUCGUAAUGAGGGGGUCGGCGGUUCGAAUCCGUCAUGCGGCACCA
rnacentral:tRNA from 1 species